UACGUAGGUGGCAAGCGUUGUCCGGAAUUAUUGGGCGUAAAGCGCGCGCAGGCGGUCCUUUAAGUCUGAUGUGAAAGCCCACGGCUCAACCGUGGAGGGUCAUUGGAAACUGGGGGACUUGAGUACAGAAGAGAAGAGUGGAAUUCCACGUGUAGCGGUGAAAUGCGUAGAGAUGUGGAGGAACACCAGUGGCGAAGGCGACUCUUUGGUCUGUAACUGACGCUGAGGCGCGAAAGCGUGGGGAGCAAACCGG
rnacentral:rRNA from 1 species